rnacentral:rRNA from 1 species
UACGGGGGGGGCAAGCGUUGUUCGGAAUUACUGGGCGUAAAGGGCUCGUAGGCGGCCAACUAAGUCAGACGUGAAAUCCCUCGGCUUAACCGGGGAACUGCGUCUGAUACUGGAUGGCUUGAGGUUGGGAGAGGGAUGCGGAAUUCCAGGUGUAGCGGUGAAAUGCGUAGAUAUCUGGAGGAACACCGGUGGCGAAGGCGGCGUCCUGGACCAAUUCUGACACUGAUGAGCGAAAGCCAGGGGAGCAAACGGG